GGGUGCGAUCAGACCAGCUCUAAUGCACUGGAUCCCAUCAGAACUCCACAGUAAAGCGUGCUUGGGUGAGAGUAGUACUAGGAUGGGUGACCUCCUGAGAAGUCUUCGGGUUGCAUCCU